GGUUAAGCGACUAAGCGUACACGGUGGAUGCCCUGGCAGUCAGAGGCGAUGAAGGACGUGCUAAUCUGCGAAAAGCGUCGGUAAGGUGAUAUGAACCGUUAUAACCGGCGAUGUCCGAAUGGGGAAACCCAGUGCAAUUCGUUGCACUAUCGUUAACUGAAUACAUAGGUUAACGAGGCGAACCGGGGGAACUGAAACAUCUAAGUACCCCGAGGAAAAGAAAUCAACCGAGAUUCCCCCAGUAGCGGCGAGCGAACGGGGAGCAGCCCAGAGUCUGAAUCAGCUUGUGUGUUAGUGGAACGGUCUGGAAAGUCCGACGGUACAGGGUGAUAGUCCCGUACACCAAAAUGCACAGGUUGUGAACUCGAAGAGUAGGGCGGGACACGUGGUAUCCUGUCUGAAUAUGGGGGGACCAUCCUCCAAGGCUAAAUACUCCUGACUGACCGAUAGUGAACCAGUACCGUGAGGGAAAGGCGAAAAGAACCCCGGCGAGGGGAGUGAAAAAGAACCUGAAACCGUGUACGUACAAGCAGUGGGAGCACCUUCGGGUGUGACUGCGUACCUUUUGUAUAAUGGGUCAGCGACUUAUAUUCUGUAGCAAGGUUAACCGUAUAGGGGAGCCGCAGGGAAACCGAGUCUUAACUGGGCGUUAAGUUGCAGGGUAUAGACCCGAAACCCGGUGAUCUAGCCAUGGGCAGGUUGAAGGUUGGGUAACACUAACUGGAGGACCGAACCGACUAAUGUUGAAAAAUUAGCGGAUGACUUGUGGCUGGGGGUGAAAGGCCAAUCAAACCGGGAGAUAGCUGGUUCUCCCCGAAAGCUAUUUAGGUAGCGCCUCGCGAACUCAUCUUCGGGGGUAGAGCACUGUUUCGGCUAGGGGGUCAUCCCGACUUACCAACCCGAUGCAAACUACGAAUACCGAAGAAUGUUAUCACGGGAGACACACGGCGGGUGCUAACGUCCGUCGUGAAGAGGGAAACAACCCAGACCGCCAGCUAAGGUCCCAAAGUCAUGGUUAAGUGGGAAACGAUGUGGGAAGGCACAGACAGCCAGGAUGUUGGCUUAGAAGCAGCCAUCAUUUAAAGAAAGCGUAAUAGCUCACUGGUCGAGUCGGCCUGCGCGGAAGAUGUAACGGGGCUAAACCAUGCACCGAAGCUGCGGCAGCGACACUAUGUGUUGUUGGGUAGGGGAGCGUUCUGUAAGCCUGCGAAGGUGACCUGUGAGGGUUGCUGGAGGUAUCAGAAGUGCGAAUGCUGACAUAAGUAACGAUAAAGCGGGUGAAAAGCCCGCUCGCCGGAAGACCAAGGGUUCCUGUCCAACGUUAAUCGGGGCAGGGUGAGUCGACCCCUAAGGCGAGGCCGAAAGGCGUAGUCGAUGGGAAACAGGUUAAUAUUCCUGUACUUGGUGUUACUGCGAAGGGGGGACGGAGAAGGCUAUGUUAGCCGGGCGACGGUUGUCCCGGUUUAAGCAUGUAGGCUGGUUGUCCAGGCAAAUCCGGAUAAUCAAGGCUGAGGUGUGAUGACGAGGUACUACGGUGCUGAAGUAACAAAUGCCCUGCUUCCAGGAAAAGCCUCUAAGCAUCAGGUAACAUCAAAUCGUACCCCAAACCGACACAGGUGGUCAGGUAGAGAAUACCAAGGCGCUUGAGAGAACUCGGGUGAAGGAACUAGGCAAAAUGGUGCCGUAACUUCGGGAGAAGGCACGCUGGUGUGUAGGUGAAGUCCCUGCGGAUGGAGCUGAGACCAGUCGAAGAUACCAGCUGGCUGCAACUGUUUAUUAAAAACACAGCACUGUGCAAACACGAAAGUGGACGUAUACGGUGUGACGCCUGCCCGGUGCCGGAAGGUUAAUUGAUGGGGUUAUCCGUAAGGAGAAGCUCUUGAUCGAAGCCCCGGUAAACGGCGGCCGUAACUAUAACGGUCCUAAGGUAGCGAAAUUCCUUGUCGGGUAAGUUCCGACCUGCACGAAUGGCGUAAUGAUGGCCAGGCUGUCUCCACCCGAGACUCAGUGAAAUUGAACUCGCUGUGAAGAUGCAGUGUACCCGCGGCAAGACGGAAAGACCCCGUGAACCUUUACUAUAGCUUGACACUGAACAUUGAGCCUUGAUGUGUAGGAUAGGUGGGAGGCUUUGAAGCGUGGACGCCAGUCUGCGUGGAGCCAACCUUGAAAUACCACCCUUUAAUGUUUGAUGUUCUAACGUUGGCCCCUUACCGGGGUUGCGGACAGUGUCUGGUGGGUAGUUUGACUGGGGCGGUCUCCUCCUAAAGCGUAACGGAGGAGCACGAAGGUUAGCUAAUCCUGGUCGGACAUCAGGAGGUUAGUGCAAUGGCAUAAGCUAGCUUGACUGCGAGCGUGACGGCGCGAGCAGGUGCGAAAGCAGGUCAUAGUGAUCCGGUGGUUCUGAAUGGAAGGGCCAUCGCUCAACGGAUAAAAGGUACUCCGGGGAUAACAGGCUGAUACCGCCCAAGAGUUCAUAUCGACGGCGGUGUUUGGCACCUCGAUGUCGGCUCAUCACAUCCUGGGGCUGAAGUAGGUCCCAAGGGUAUGGCUGUUCGCCAUUUAAAGUGGUACGCGAGCUGGGUUUAGAACGUCGUGAGACAGUUCGGUCCCUAUCUGCCGUGGGCGCUGGAGAAUUGAGGGGGGCUGCUCCUAGUACGAGAGGACCGGAGUGGACGCAUCACUGGUGUUCGGGUUGUCAUGCCAAUGGCACUGCCCGGUAGCUAAAUGCGGAAGAGAUAAGUGCUGAAAGCAUCUAAGCACGAAACUUGCCCCGAGAUGAGUUCUCCCUGAGACUUUAAGUCUCCUGAAGGAACGUUGAAGACGACGACGUUGAUAGGCCGGGUGUGUAAGCGCAGCGAUGCGUUGAGCUAACCGGUACUAAUGAACCGUGAGGCUUAACCUU
rnacentral:rRNA from 1 species